GUGAUGGAGAGCUGAUUGGCCGAGUGAUGAAGAAGCUGGUAUUUGGAAUUUUUUAAAGCUGUACAAGAGGGAAAUAGAGCUGUUAUGAGGAAAGAUAUCCGAUGAAUCGUUGGCCUCUACCCAGUAGAUGCCAGAAGCACUGCCCCGCUUUCUACAUUUGGCACAAUCAAAACUAUCUCCAGACAUUGUCCUAUCUCCACGGGAAGUUCCUGCCCCCAGCAAGCCACUGCGUGUAAAAUAACAGGAUUUGGAGGCGUGAUUCAUGUGUAACAGUAGGUGGGCUGAGCCCACCCCUUGGGUGACUCAUGCAGGCUUUCUGUCCCACCAAACUGUCCGGCUGGAAAAACCCUCAGGUUAAGGUCAUUAAUUUGAAUCUAGCCUCUAGCAGAAAUAACCCAGAAUUAUUGUAUUGGAUUCAUAUAAGCUUUCACGGGAAACUGUUUGCUGGAGUUCUAAUGGAAAAACACCCAUAUCAUCCACCAAUACCAUAAUGAACAACAAGGAGGUAAUAAAAAGAGAUCUGUGCUUUCCAAAAAAAGCACUGGGGCAUAAGGCCAGAAUUCUGCUUAGGUUUGGCCAUUUGGAAAUAUUCUCCUCUGUGACAUCAAUCCAUAAUUGAGUAAUAAGGAUGAUAUUAAUAGAGAAUGACAAUAGAAUUUCUUCUAAGGGAUUUUUGCUGAUAAUAAAGAUUUAAGAAGCCAU
rnacentral:lncRNA from 10 species